rnacentral:tRNA from 1 species
CCCUGUGGCUCAGUUGGUAGAGCAUGGUGUUUGCAAUGCCAGCAUGGUGUGUGCAACGCCAGGGUUGUGGGUUCGAUUCCCACGAGGG